rnacentral:rRNA from 1 species
CGAAAGCCUGACGGAGCAAGACCGCGUGGGGGAGGAAGGCUCUAGGGUUGUAAACCCCUUUUCUCAGGGAAGAAGAAAGUGACGGUACCUGAGGAAUCAGCCUCGGCUAACUCCGUGCCAGCAGCCGCGGUAAUACGGAGGAGGCAAGCGUUAUCCGGAAUGAUUGGGCGUAAAGCGUUCGUAGGUGGCAAUUCAAGUCUGCUGUCAAAGACAGUAGCUCAACUACUGCAAGGCAGUGGAAACUGAAUAGCUAGAGUGCGGUAGGGGCAGAGGGAAUUCCCAGUGUAGCGGUGAAAUGCGUAGAUAUUGGGAAGAACACCAGUGGCGAAGGCGCUCUACUGGGUCGCAACUGACGCUGAGGGACGAAAGCUAGGGGAGCG